rnacentral:rRNA from 1 species
AUUGAACGCUGGCGGCAUGCCUUACACAUGCAAGUCGAACGGCAGCAUGGGUGCUUGCACCUGAUGGCGAGUGGCGAACGGGUGAGUAAUGCAUCGGAACGUACCCGGAAGUGGGGGAUAACGUAGCGAAAGUUACGCUAAUACCGCAUAUUCUGUGAGCAGGAAAGCGGGGGAUCGCAAGACCUCGCGCUUCCGGAGCGGCCGAUGUCGGAUUAGCUAGUUGGCGGGGUAAAGGCCCACCAAGGCAACGAUCCGUAGCGGGUCUGAGAGGAUGAUCCGCCACACUGGGACUGAGACACGACCCAGACUCCUACGGGAGGCAGCAGUGGGGAAUAUUGGACAAUGGGCGAAAGCCUGAUCCAGCAAUGCCGCGUGAGUGAAGAAGGCCUUCGGGUUGUAAAGCUCUUUUACCCGGGAAGAUAAUGACUGUACCGGGAGAAUAAGCACCGGCUAACUACGUG